CAGGGAUUCACGCUGGUAUGGCAUGCCUAAUACAUGCAAGUCGAACGAGAGUAGCAAUACUCUAGUGGCGAACGGGUGAGUAACACGUGGGUAACUUGUCCUAAAGUCGAGGAUAACAGUUGGAAACGACUGCUAAUACUGGAUCCGUUAGAUUAACGCAUGUUGAUCUAAUUAAAGAUGCGUAUGAAAUCAUCUUUAGGAGAGGCCUGCGUCGUAUGAGCUAGUUGGUGAGGUAACGGCUUACCAAGGCGAUAUUGCGUAGCUGUGCUGAGAGGCAAAACAGCCACACUGGGACUGAGACACGGCCCAGACUCCCCGGGAGGCAGCAGCAGUAGGGAAUUUUCGGCAAUGGACGAAAGUCUGACCGAGUACAUGCCGCGUAAAUGAUGAAGGUCUUCGGAUUGUAAAGUUCUGUUGUAAGGGACGAAUAGUAUUACCAGGAAAUGGGUUUUGGAUGACGGUACCUUACUAGAAAGCCCCGGCUAACUAUGUGCCAGCAGCCGCGGAUAAUACUAUGGGGGCAUGACGUUAUCCAUGAAUUAUUGGGCGUAGGAGUGCGUAGGUGGUUUAUGGGUCUGGUGUGAAAUUUCACAUCUUAACUGUGAAGGGUCAUUAUUCUGGUAAACUUGAGUACGGAUGGGAGGUAAGUGGAAUUCCAAGUGGAGCGUAUUGGAAUGCGUAGAUAUUUUGGAGGAACACCAAUGGCGAAGGCAGCUUACUGGGCCGGGACUGACACUGAUGCACGAAAGCGUGGGGAGCAAACAGGAUUAGAUAUCCCCUGGUAGUCCACGCCGUAAACGAUGAGUAUUAAGUGUCGGGUGUAAAUUCGGCGCUGUUAUGUAACACAAUAAAUACUCCGCCUGGGGAGUACGGUCGCAAGACUGAAACUCAAAGGAAUUGACGGGGACUCGCACAAGCGGUGGAGCAUGCGGUUUAAUUCGAUGCAACGCGAAGAACCUUACCAAAUCUUGACAUCCCGUUGACCGGGCUAGAGAUAGUCCUUCCCUUCGGGGCAACGGAGACAGGUGGUGCAUGGUUGUCGUCAGCUCGUGUCGUGAGAUGUUGGGUUAAGUCCCACAACGAUAUGCAACCCUUAUCAUUAGUUGCUAACAUUAAGUUGAGAACUCUAAUGAGACCGCCGGUGAUUAACCGGAUGAAGGUGGGGAUGACGUCAAAUCAUCAUGCCCCUUAUGACCUGGGCUACACGCGUGCUAUCAUGGCUCUACAAAGAGUCGCAAUACCGUGAGGUGGAGCUAAUCUCAUAAAACUAGUCUCAGUUCGGAUUGUAGUCUGCAACUCGACUAUAUGAAGUUGGAAUCGCUAGUAAUCGCAAAUCAGCAUGUUGCGGUGAAUACGUUCUCGAGUCCGUACACACCGCC
rnacentral:rRNA from 1 species